rnacentral:lncRNA from 1 species
GGGCUGGGGGGCAGGAGGCUCUGCGGGGAGGGCAGCGCGCGGGGCCGGCGCCUGCUAAUGCCCCAGGCCCCUUUAAAACUCUUUUUUUUUUUUGCUCCGCCCCCGUCCCGAUAUUUUAUACUGCUAAUCUGGUCACCCUGUCUUCAUGGAAGGUGAUCUUGUAGCCUGCAACAACAUCGAUGGUGUGAUGGCAGCCCUCAACAUCGUUCACGAUCCAAAUAAGUGGAGACUUCAUUGAUUCAUCGAAGACGAGUCUUAAAGCUGUUUUACUGCAUAAUGGCAACGUUUUGCCAUCAAUUCCAGUUGGUCAUGCAGUCCAUAUGAAGGAAACCUAUGACAACAUGAAACAACUUUUGAGGUGCAUAAACUAUGACCAACAUCAGUGGCAGCUUUGUGGCGAUUUGAAGGUUGUUGCUCUCUUGCUUGGUCUGCAGACUGGAUACACAAAGUACUGCUGUUUUCUCUGCGAAUGGGAUAGCCGUGCAAGAGAUUCCCACUACAUCAAGAAAGAUUGGCCACUCCGACAGUCAUUGGAGCCUGGGAGGAAAACUGUUCAGCAUCCACCACUUGUUGAAUCAAGGAAGAUUUUGUUACCACUCUUACACAUCAAGCUGGGUCUGAUGAAGAACUUUGUCAAGGCCAUUGACAAAACACAAGCAGCUUUCAAGUACCUCCGUGGAAAAUUUCCAAGGUUAAGUGAAGCUAAGAUAAAGGAAGGUGUCUUUGUUGGUCCUCAGAUUCAUGAACUUCUUCGAGAUGAUGCAUUUGACCAUGCACUGCGUGGCAAGGAAAAGACGGCAUGGAAAGCCUUCCAGUUAGUGGCAAUAAAUUUUCUCGGAAACAACAAGGCAGACAACUACAGGUUAUUGGUGGAAAAUCUCCUCAAGGCAUACAAAAGCCUUGGUUGCAACAUGUCACUAAAGAUACAUUUUUUGCACUCUCAUCUAGAUUUUUUUCCACCGAACUGCGGAGCAGUGAGCGAUGAGCACGGCGAGCGAUUUCACCAGGACAUUGCAACAAUGGAGAAACGCUAUCAGGGCAAAUGGAGCCCAUCAAUGCUU